CCAAUAGCGUAUAUUAAAGUUGUUGCAGUUAAAAAGCUCGUAGUUGAAUUUCGGGAUCAGUACGUCGGUCGUGCCUUCGGUAUGUACUGGUGUCACUGGUUCCUCCCUUCUGACGAACCGUCAUGCCAUUAAUUUGGUGUGGCGGGAAAUCAGGACUGUUACUUUGAAAAAAUUCGAGUGUUUAAAGCAGGCUCACGCUGGAAUACAUUAGCAUGGAAUAAUGAAAUUGGCCGUUGAUCUUAUUUUGUUGGUUUCUAGGAUUGACGUAAUGAUUAAUAGGGAUAGUUGGGGGCAUUAGUAUUCAAUUGUCAGAGGUGAAAUUCUUGGAUUUAUUGAAGACUAACUACUGCGAAAGCAUUUGCCAAGGAUGUUUUCAUUAAUCAAGAACGAAAGUUAGGGGAUCGAAGACGAUCAGAUACCGUCGUAGUCUUAACCAUAAACUAUGCCGACUAGGGAUCGGACGAUGUUAAUUUUUUAAUGACUCAUUCGGCGCCUUACG
rnacentral:rRNA from 1 species